GGUGGCUCAGUGAUAGAGCACUUGCCUUGUAGGCAUGAGGUCCUGGGUUUGAUUCCUCAGCACCA
rnacentral:tRNA from 1 species